UGAUCAUUCAAAAGCAUAAUAGUACCAAAACUUAGUGGAAAUUCAAUUUCUGAGUUAUAUCACUAGCAUUUAAACCUCUUGAGCACUAUGAAAACCCUAAUAAUUAUAACAUUAAUCAAUUAAUCAGUUGGAAAAAUAUAUUUUUAAGAAUGAAAGGAGUUAUAGCUUGCAUAGUAAAUUUUACUUAAGCAAUAGGGCAUUAAUUGUUGCUAUAUAUAUAUUGAAAAUGAAAUAUCUGAACUUUGAAAUGAACACAUACCCUCUCCACCCCCACUGAGAGAGAUGGAGAGGUGGGGCAAAGGCUUUAUUGCCUGCACUUAUAAUUAUAGCUACCAAUACAUCUAUGGUUGCAAUCAUUUGUACUUGGAAA
rnacentral:misc_RNA from 1 species